rnacentral:rRNA from 1 species
GACGAACGCUGGCGGCGUGCUUAACACAUGCAAGUCGAACGGAAAGGCCCUGCUUUUGUGGGGUGCUCGAGUGGCGAACGGGUGAGUAACACGUGAGUAACCUGCCCUUGACUUUGGGAUAACUUCAGGAAACUGGGGCUAAUACCGGAUAGGAGCUCCUGCUGCAUGGUGGGGGUUGGAAAGUUUCGGCUGUUGGGGAUGGACUCGCGGCUUAUCAGCUUGUUGGUGGGGUAGUGGCUUACCAAGGCUUUGACGGGUAGCCGGCCUGAGAGGGUGACCGGCAACAUUGGGACUGAGAGACGGCCCAGACUCCUACGGGAGGCAGCGGUGGGGAAUAUUGCACAAUGGGCGGAAGCCGGAUGCAGCAACGCCGCGUGCGGGAUGACGGCCUUCGGGUUGGAAACCGCUUUCGCCUGUGACGAAGCGUGAGGGACGGUAAUGGGUAAAGAAGCACCGGCUAACUACGU